GAUGAACGCUGGCGGCGUGCUUAACACAUGCAAGUCGAACGAUGAAAGCGGGAGCUUGCUCCUGCUGGAUUAGUGGCGAACGGGUGAGUAACACGUGAGCAAUCUGCCCCGAACUCUGGGAUAAGCGUUGGAAACGACGUCUAAUACCGGAUACGACGCGCGAAGGCAUCUUCUGCGCGUGGAAAGAACUUCGGUUCGGGAUGAGCUCGCGGCCUAUCAGCUAGUUGGUGAGGUAACGGCCCACCAAGGCGACGACGGGUAGCCGGCCUGAGAGGGGGGACGGCCACACUGGGACUGCGACACGGCCCAGACUCCGACGGGAGGCAGCAGUGGGGAAUAUUGCACAAUGGGCGCAAGCCUGAUGCAGCAACGCCGCGUGAGGGACGACGGCCUUCGGGUUGUAAACCUCUUUUAGUAGGGAAGAAGCGAAAGUGACGGUACCUGCAGAAGAAGCACCGGCUAACUACGUGCCAGCAGCCGCCGUAACAC
rnacentral:rRNA from 1 species